UCCGCCAGGGGCGGAGUGGAAGGCGGCGGGCGGAAGGGAGGGGGCUGGUUCUGAUGAAGAGAAGCUCUGCGCGCGCCGCGACUUUCCAUUGGCCCUUUGUGCCGCGGCCUACAACGGGCCUGGUGAUUGGUUGCAGCUGCGGCCGCACUGCCUUGUGAGGUAGAAGCAGGGGGCGGGAAGUACCGCGUUUCUUCCGUCCCGGCAUGCAGAGAGUAGGAAGCGGGCGGAAGCCAGCGGCUCUCGCGACGAUUUGCUUAGAGCUUCGCCAGGCUCCAAUGGGGGCGGCUCUUAAAGGGCGAGGCACGGGGGUUGUCGUCUUUUGCUUUUUCUUGAGUGAACAGGGUAGGCACCUGAAGCUUUGCGACACCAGAGAGGAGCUUGGGGCUCGACGCGCACGUCCAGUGUUGCUUCAGAAGGCUCAAAGGAACGUCUCGGGCUAAGCGACUUCGCUGACGAAGUGUUUGGGCCUGUGUGCGUCACUGCUUCGAGGACUAGUGUUCAGAAUCCUGGCCAGUGAGCCCGGAUCAGGAGCCUGAACUAGCUGGUCGGGGACCCUCAUCCACAGAGGCGAAGGAGGCACGUUCCUUGUCGCUCUGUAUGGGUUCACUCUGGACUUGGAAUUGUGUGAGGUUUAAGAAAGCACGAGUGCGGUAUCUUGACUCCAUGUAUAUAGUUUGGUCUGAGCUGUCUAGUCUUGACUCCAUGUAUGUUUGGUCUGGAGCAAAAUUGGUAGCUGUAUAUAUUAGAACUUUUUUCUAUUUGAGCUAAAUUUUUUUAGUUGGCCAUUUGGUCCCUCUCAUCUCAGGUUCAUUCAAAUAUUUGAACCCAGACCGUGUGCUACAUUCUGUUUUCCUGAGGAUACAGGAGUGCAUCAGACAGAGGUCUUUGCAUUGGCUGAAAGUUCCAGCCCUCUAACCAGCUGGUCUUUCUCGUGAUCGGCCCCUCCAGAGGUUUCCUUUGGGCCCCUCUCCUAAGUGCUUAAACUCAGUAUAAACUGCGGCCAUCUGAAGAGGCUCAUAUGAACAACAAAAGAAACUCAGAAAAUUCCAAGGAUUCAAGAGUUGUCACUGGAACUGAAAACUUCAUCGUAUACCACAGCUAGGGUAUAUAAAGACCCAAUACUUUAAAUUGUAAUUCUGAAAGGCUCUAAAUUCCUAACAGUUGUUAACACAUCAGCCUCUUAGCAGGAUGAAAGAUCCUACAUACCCAUUCUACAGACUCCGUCUUUCUACCAGGAUAAACAAAUCUCCAGGAAUUAUACUUUGGAUUUGCUUUAUCUUAGUCUCAUAACUUUAUUUUCUGCCCCAGAUUUGAUGAGUUUCUGGGUUGGUGAAUAAAUCCUUGAACUAGGAAGAUUCUGUACUCCAACUCUACAGGAAUAGAAAUUCCUGCACUCAGAGGACGCUCAUGAACCAACUCUUGUGUACUUCUUCAUUUGGCUGUCCAUGUGCAUCUGUUGUAAUAUCCUUUAUAAUGAAUGGCUAAAUUGAAAUAAAGUUUCCCUGAAUUCUC